rnacentral:rRNA from 1 species
GUGGGGAAUAUUGGACAAUGGGCGCAAGCCUGAUCCAGCCAUGCCGCGUGAGUGAUGAAGGCCUUAGGGUUGUAAAGCUCUUUCGUCAGGGAAGAUAAUGACGGUACCUGAAGAAGAAGCCCCGGCUAACUUCGUGCCAGCAGCCGCGGUAAUACGAAGGGGGCUAGCGUUGCUCGGAAUCACUGGGCGUAAAGCGCACGUAGGCGGCCUUCUAAGUCAGGGGUGAAAUCCUGGAGCUCAACUCCAGAACUGCCUUUGAUACUGGAGAGCUGGAGUUCGGGAGAGGUGAGUGGAACUGCGAGUGUAGAGGUGAAAUUCGUAGAUAUUCGCAAGAACACCAGUGGCGAAGGCGGCUCACUGGCCCGAUACUGACGCUGAGGUGCGAAAGCGUGGGGAGCAAACAGGAUUAGAUACCCUUGUAGUCC